AACACAGCAAUCGAUAUAAACGCAUGCGCAGUAGGCGAUUGCUAGCUUCCUACUGUGACGUGAGUUCAGAGAUUGCAAGCAAAGGGUAUCGCUAUGAUAAGAAGCGAACGAAGACGACAAAACUGUCGCAUCUACUCUGCCGCCAGCAAGAGACCGUGUCUCGAAACUGACAGUCUAGAAGUUCAACAGACCCCGGACAGCGUACUUACAGAAAACAUGGAGGAAGAAGGAAUAAGUUUUGAAAGUCUUAACGACUGGGAAACCGUUUUUCAAUUGUCUCCCCUGGCUACCCCCGCCAGGGAUCGGAGUACGCCUCCUCCACUCAUCGAUUUGAGCCUCACUCCGCAGCAAGAAGGACCAGCAGUGGUCGACCUUACUGGUGAUGAUGAUGAUGAUAAUGUGGUGGCACAACAUUCUCCUGAGCAUAGAAUGCAAGGAUUGUUUACAGAGUUUUCAAGAUCAGGAGUUCAAUCAGUGGAGGAUGCACGACAGGUAGCAGCUGCAGUUGCCAUGGCAGCACUGAGAGACUGUAAGAAACCGAAGUUGUUCAUGAUGUAGCUGUGUUGUGUGAAUUCUGUGAUAAUGAAGAUGUAGCAUGUUGUCGGUUAGGUCAGAUGUUUUGCUGUGGGAGCUGCAAUGACCUCUACACUCAAUGACAAUCUUUUGCCAUUCCAACAUUAUUGACAAUUUCUCGAGUGUGCAGAGUGUGCAAAGUGCAUGCUAGGGGGAGGGGCGUAUGGCAUCUAAACACUAUAAAGUUUUGAUCAGUAGCAAAUGGUUCGUGCUAAUUUCUCUGUUUUCCAUGGUUGGAAUCGCAUCAAAUAUUGUUCCCAUGUCAGUCACUUGUAUGUACGGGAUUUGAAAACAUGUACAAUUGCGGCAGCUAAGUCUGGUUUUGUUCUUGAACAACAUCAGCCAUCCAUAAGGGCCCAGCUGUCUCUACCAUGACUUUCUCAAUGUUUUCGUCUUUGUCCACUUGAAUGGCCGGAAACCUCGAGCUGACAUCAUUUGAAUGGGUCAACUGGAAUGGAAGAAGAGCUCUAGCAAUGCAGAAGCGUUGAACACCACACGUCAACACUCUAAUAGAUGAAACCAUGGUCAAGCUAUUGCAUCAACGAUCCUGCAUAUGCUUUGGGGAGGGGAGGGGGCUUCAAAAAAGUGUGCGCUUUGUAUGCUCGUGAAAUUGUCGAUAAUUUUGAACAACCCUGUAAAGAAAGUAUGUAGGUAUUCACAUAUUACAAACAGCCCAGUUUUUAUUUACCAGUGCUGUGUACUUGUGCUUGUUAUCAAGCUUGGCAUAUCUCAUUCACGGAAAUGCAUUCAGAAUGUGGUCUUAUACCUAUAGUACAUUGCUGUUACAAAAGAUAUUGACAUUGUGCACAGUUCAAAUGCCUUACGAGUGUAGUCAGAUGGUUUUGCAGGUUACAACAAGUUUAUCUCUUGAACUGGAAAGAUUUGUUUGAGAUGCGUUAGUACUUAUGCUGUCAGGCAUCUUGUAUGACAAGAAAAUAAUUACCGAGACAAGGUAGACUUGUGUAGAUCCUCAGUUUACUAUUAAUUACACAAUCAGACUAGUAGGCAAACUUUGAAUAGGAGAAAUGACACACGAAGAGCUACUGCACUUGUAGAUUAUAACAGUCGUACUAUUGCUAAAAUCAUGCUAAAAAUAUGUAGAAAUCUAUUAAUUAACAACAUCUGCCAUUUUAUGUAAGCUGUAGGCAUGUGUAGUAACUCCAGAAAUAUGGUCUGUUAUUUUGGAUGCUCUUUCUCAAAAAUAUCUUAUUCUCAAAGUGUCUUAUGCGAAUGGUACACUGUAUCGCAAUGCUAAUGCUUUUGGCUAUACUCACUUUAAUUAAGUGUAUCUUGCUUUUGCACAUGGUGGCUGCAUCGUAGAAAGCCAAAGAGAAUCAAGUUUCUAGUAGUCUUAAUUGUAUACAUAGUCUGCUCAUACACUGUAUGGUGAGCUGUAAUUUGCAAGACAAGUUGUAGAUGGAAAGGAUGACAAUGACAAGGAAAGUUUAUCCAUGACUUCUAAACGAACUUCAAUGCGACAGAAUUUCCAUCAACAUAGCUGUAGAUUCUGUAAUAUUAUGGAAAUAAUAAGAAAGGGUUGUUGAACGAUUCUUUAAAAUGUAGCACUGUCGUUUGGUGUUUUCAUUGCAAGGACAUCGUGCUAGAUUUCCUGGUAUUUGUUUCAAUAAUUGUGCUGUUGUGCAAAUGUGUAUUGGAAAAUAUUAUAUGUGUAUUGCAGCUAUUUUGUGCUGUGUGUGUAGGGACAACCGAUAUAUUGAGUGAAGCUCCUCAUAGACCUGUAAGAAGAGCUCAGGCUAUUGAAGUAGUGGAUUCAGAUAAUGAUGAAGAUGAAGGUGGUGAUGUCGAAGAGUUGCUACAGUCGGAUAUUAGAUGGGAGCAGCACUCUGUCA